rnacentral:rRNA from 1 species
UACGGGGGGGGCAAGCGUUGUUCGGAAUUACUGGGCGUAAAGGGCUCGUAGGCGGCCAAUUAAGUCAGACGUGAAAUCCCUCGGCUUAACCGGGGAACUGCGUCUGAUACUGGAUGGCUUGAGUUUGGGAGAGGGAUGCGGAAUUCCAGGUGUAGCGGUGAAAUGCGUAGAUAUCUGGAGGAACACCGGUGGCGAAGGCGGCAUCCUGGACCAACACUGACACUGAGGAGCGAAAGCCAGGGGAGCAAACGGG